UAAUAAUAUUAGGGGAGCUGCUGUUAGCGGCUGAGAAAACGGUGUAACCGUUGACCCUUUGAACCUGAUGCAGGUAAUUCUGCCGUAGGGAAUCUAAAAAGAUCAGGUU
rnacentral:ncRNA from 2 species